rnacentral:RNase_P_RNA from 1 species
GGGAGCAGUCGAACAGCCGCUCCGAUGUCUCACAUCGGGGAGGAAAGUCCGGGCUCCAGCAGGAAGGGCGGCCCCUAACAGGAGCAGAUCGCAAGGUCUGGAAAGUGCCACAGAAAUGAUACCGUCCCGACGAAUUGUUUGGGAUAAGGGUGAAAUGGCGAGGUAAGAGCUCACCGCUCUGUCGGCAACGGCAGAGGCAAAGGCAAACCCCGCCCGGAGAAAAACCAAGCAGGGUCUGGGUUCCUGCCCCAUAAGACCCGGGUAGGUUGCUUGAACCUGAAGGCAACUUCAGGUCAAGAUGAAUGGCUGUUAAGAACAGAACCCGGCUUACGAACUACUCCCGGCU